AAAUUUGAACGUUGAUUGUUGAAGAUUUAUCUUGGACAUUUAAAAGGUCAUACACAAAGAGUACAGUUAACUUUAUUACUGUUUGUAAACACUGAAAUUUCUGAUCUAUUACAAGGGAAAUAUUUAAAUGUUAAAAGUGUUCACAGUUGUGCAUUUGUGUUGAUUCUCCUUGCUAAUAUUUUGAGUGCUUACAUUUUAGAGGUCUGAUGGAAAUGGUAUCACUUAUAGCUUAAGUUGCCCAGUUUAAAGAAGUAAACAACAUUAAAGAGGCCAUGGAAAACCCACCUGAAAAGGAAGUUGAACCAGCUGCACCUCCACCUCCAGCUGAAGAAAUAAGUAACCCACCAGUGCAACAGCUCAGAGCAAGCUCACGUGAAAGAAGCUUAACAGAGAAAGGUCGAGAGGUGCAUGAGCUCGAAGCAAAGAAACAGGAAAAGUCCUUCCAUAGGACUUAUGAGUCCUGGAAGCAGGCUGCAAGAGAGGCUAGAUCAAAUUUGAAAACAUUCUGUACACGUGAAGACCUGGAUCAAAUACAGCAGGACAUUCAAGGCAGACAUGAUUCAGUCUAUCAUCGUUAUGAAGCAAUUCUGCGUAACCACACUACUACUCCAGACAUUGUUAAACGUAUGGAUGCCUGCGCUGCACUAACUGCAGAGAUCACUGAUCUUGUCAGUAAACGACUGGAAACAUUUAAUGAAAGUUACAACGAAGAACUUGUGAAGGAAAGAGUAAGGCAAGUGCUGAAUAAGGAUGAAUAUGGAUCCGUCUUUGGAUGUACAGUAACAAACACAGUCGUUUCAGAGUCAUCACUGGGAUCCGAUAACCAAUCCAAGACUUCUAAAGUCUCAAGUAAGCGUGCUGAUGCACAGGCAGAAUUUGCAGCGAAACUGGAACAAGCUAAAGCUUUACAAGAAAUUCACAAUCAACAAGCUAAGCUUGAUAAGAUGGAGCAUGACUGGAAGCUUUGUGAAUCGAGAAUGUUAGCGGAGAUAAAGCAGAAGGAGGCUGAAAUGCAGUUAAGGCUAGUUGAGGAAAAGAAACGGCUACAACAGUUACAAGUUGACAAAGAAGUUAAAGUAGCAGCAGCUCGUGUCAAAGUGUAUAACGAUUUGGAAGGCAACCUUCAUCGCUGUGAAGAUGACGAAGGCCCUAGCAUUCACACUGGCUGCCAAAGGACAGAGCUUACAUCUCAACUGAACCCGGAAGCACAGUCGUUCCUACCUCAGCAAGCAUCAUGUGAAGGAUUUGGAGUUACAUCACCUCAGGAAACUGCAAAUCUAGCUCAAGCAAUAGCAAACUCACUAAGCACACAUCGGCUGCCUGUUCCAGAACCCACUGUCUUUGUUGGUGACCCUUUAAAAUUCAUAGAUUGGAAGAUGUCAUUCAUGGCCCUCAUUGAUCGAAAACCUCUUCCUUCUGGUGAAAAAAUGUUCUAUCUGAAGAAUUACCUUGCUGGGGAAGCUCGCAAAGCGGUGGAGGGAUAUUUCUACAGAAAUUCUGAGGAUGCAUAUCAAGGUGCCUGGAAAGUGUUACAGGAAAGGUACGGGAACUCGUUCGUCAUCCAAAGAGCGUUUCGAGACAAGCUGAUGAGAUGGCCCAAAAUUGGAGCAAAUGACCCACUGGCAUUACGAGACUUCACAGAUUUCCUACAAGGUUGUGUCGAGGCAAUUCCUCACGUAAAAGGAUUAGCCAUCCUAAAUGAUUCUGAAGAAAACCACAAGCUGUUAAAGAAACUCCCGGAAUGGAUUGUGAGAAAGUGGAACCGAAUCGUGGUGGAAGAACUAGACACAUCAGGUGACUAUCCAAGUUUCAAAUGCUUCACAGAAUUUCUGCAAAAGGAAGCAAAAAUAGCUUGUAACCCUAUAACCUCUGCACUAUUUGUGAAUCAAAGGAACACAGAUGAAAGGUUCCCCAAGCGCGCUAAGGCUCUCAGUACAAAGGUUCAGGUGAAGGACUUAAGCUCAAAAAGACCAGAGACGUACAGCUCUAAGCCAAAGACAUUGUGCCUUUUCUGCAAAGAUGAAAAACAUCACAUUGCCCAAUGCUCUACAUUUGCUGGAAAGACUAUUGAAGAAAAGAAAGCCUUCAUUCACGAAACCCACCUCUGUUUCGGAUGUCUCAGAAAGGGACACAUGAGUAAAGACUGUAGAAGAAGACAUACAUGUGGUACGUGUGGUCGAAGUCAUCCUACCUGCUUACAUGAAGAAAGGGAUAAAGCUCCUUCAAAGGACCCUAAAGGAGCAUCUACGAAUGUUCAAGCAAGUGAGGAAGUUCAUAAAGUCAUGACACACGCACUCACUCAAUGUUCUCCUGCUACUUCCAGCAUUGUGCCAGUUUUCAUCUCUACAGUGGACGAACCCCAAAGAGAAGUACUAACUUAUGCUCUACUUGACACCCAGAGCGACUCAAGUUUCAUCUUGGAAGAUCUUCUUGAAAGUUUGAAUGUUGUCUCACAACCUGUGCAAUUGAGGCUCAGCACCAUGACAGCUGCUGACACGAUCACUGCCAGUAAGAGAGUCUGUGGACUUAAAGUAAGAGGACUACAAUCUGCAAGUUCUAUACCACUACAGCAAGCAUACACAAGAGACUUCAUUCCAGUGGACAAGUCGUAUAUUCCCACCAAGCACACAGCGCUUCAGUGGAGUCACCUCAGACACUUAGCAAGUCAGCUGUCACCACUUUUGAACUGUGAAGUCGGACUUUUAAUUGGAUUUGACUGCCCAUCUGCUCUAGCUCCCUUGGAAGCAAUUAUAGGUGGUGAAAAUGAGCCUUUCGCGCAAAGAACUGUGCUUGGGUGGAGUAUUAUAGGCCUGUCUAAUCCACACCUUGACCGACAAGGAAAUCAGAGUUUUGUCCACCGUGUUGCAGUAAAGGAAAUACCUGUCCCAUCGGCCAAUGAUAUCCUGAAAAUUCUUGAGUCCGAUUUCAAUGAAAAAGCUUAUGAGGAUAAAUGUGUGUCACAAGAGGAUGUUCGUUUCAUACAGCACCUCAGUGCCAAUAUUCAUCAGAAGGAUAAUGGACAUUACGAGUUUCCUCUCCCAUUUAAGUGCAGCAGCCGACCCUCACUACCCAACAACAAAGGGCUAGCAACUGCUCGACUACAACACCUAAAGAAACGGCUCAAGUCCAAUAAACAGUAUUAUGAUCACUACAAGGCUUUCAUGGAAGAGAUGAUUAUCAAAGGUGAUGCAGAACAAGCUCCAGCUAUACUAAGUGGAGAGACAGUGUGGUACAUCCCACACCAUGGGGUGUACCACCCUCAGAAACCAAACAAGCUGAGGGUGGUAUUCGAUUGUUCAGCAAAGUUUCGUGGUAUAUCAUUAAAUGACACACUUCUGACUGGGCCUGAUCUAACCAAUUCCUUGGUGGGAGUGCUGUGCCGUUUCAGAAAGGAGCCAGUUGCAGUUACCUGUGACAUAGAGAAGAUGUUUCACCAGUUUCUCGUCCCACCUGAUGAACGCAAUUACCUGAGAUUCUUAUGGUGGGAGGGUGGAGACUUGGAGAAAGAGCCUCAAGAAUAUCGCAUGGCAGUCCACCUCUUUGGUGCCACGUCUUCACCUGGGUGUGCUAAUUUCGGCCUAAAGUACCUGGCACAGCAGCACAAGGUUAACUAUCCUUCAGCCUCAGCAUUCAUUGAGAAGAACUUUUAUGUGGAUGAUGGGUUAACCAGUGUUCCCUCAACCAGUGAAGCCAAAGAACUAAUAAUGCAAGCUCAAAGAGUGUGUAAACAUGGAGGUUUACGGCUUCACAAAUUUAACUCAAAUAAGGAAGACGUUCUGAGUUGUUUAAACCCGUUAGAAAAGGCAACAACAUCAAUGCCUCUUGACUUUAAUCUUGAAGCAACACCAUACACACCUGUGAACCUGCUUGUCGGUGAUCCUGAAGUUAAAUUAGUCCAAACCUUUGUGACCUCCGUCAGAGACGGAGCAGACAUCCUCAGUCGCUUAAGUCGAUUCUCUUCUUGGUCUAUGCUUCUAAGGGUGGUUGCAAGAAUAAACAGAUUGGGCCACAAACAGAUGUACAACGGUGAUCAUGUGACAGUUGAAGAACGUGAGAGAGCUGCUAAGGUGGUCAUCAAGCUUGUACAGCAGCAAGCAUUCUCAAAGGAAAUGCAAAUAAUUGAAAGAGGAGAAGCUCUACCAAAUUCAAGCGCACUGUACCCUCUGGAUCCUAUUUUGGACAAUGGCAUCCUCCGUGUUGGUGGGAGGCUAAAACACUCAUCUCUCAGUCAAGAUCUAAAACAUCCUGUAAUACUUCCAAAAGGUAACCACAUCACUAAACUAAUUCUGUCGCAUUACCACAUCAAAGUUCGUCACCAGGGAAGAAGCCAAACUCAAAUGGAGUUAAGAAUGAAUGGAUUCUGGAUCAUUGGAGGCAGUAAGUCCGUCGCUAAGUUCAUACACAAGUGUGUGCAAUGUCGGAAACUCAGACGACCAGCUGAAGACCAGCGUAUGGCAGAACUUCCCAGAGAACGUGUUGAGGUUUCCGCUCCAUUCACGUACUGUGGUAUGGACUGUUUCGGGCCAUUUAUUGUGAAGAGAGCUCGUAAGGAGCUUAAGAGAUAUGGCCUAUUAUUCACUUGUCUAUCAUCUCGUGCAGUCCAUAUUGAAAUGAUUGAGGACCUAUCUACAGACUCCUUUAUCAAUGCCCUAAGGUGCUUUAUCAGCCUCAGAGGAGCAGUUCGCAAACUUCAGUGUGACCACGGCAUUAACUUUGUUGGAGCUAAAAAUGAAUUCGCAAAAUCACUGAAAGAGAUUGACACCAACGCCUUAGAGAUCUUUCUUACAGAAAGGCAAUGCGAGUUUGUCUUUAAUGCUCCUUCUGCAAGCCAUGCUGGAGGUGUCUGGGAGCGUCAGAUACGUACUGUGCGAAAUGUACUCAAUGCCACACUUGCUUUAUGCCCAGGCAGGCUUGAUGACGCAUCACUCAGAACGCUGUUCUAUGAAGCAAUGGCCAUUGUAAACAGCCGCCCUCUAACGGUAGAUGGGAUUAAUGAUCCAAAUUCACUCGAACCAUUGACCCCAAACCAUCUGAUAAUGAUGAAAUCUGAUGUUGCUCUUCCACCUCCAGGAAAGUUUGUAAAACAAGAUGUGUAUGCCACUAAAAGAUGGCGCAGAGUUCAAUACCUAAUCGAACAAUUUUGGGUCGUUGGAAGAAGGAAUACCUUCUCAACAUUGCAGCACAUCAGAAAUGGCAUAUUCCUUGGCGUAACCUUCAAGUGAAUGAUGUUGUAAUCAUCAAAGACGAUAUGCUUCCCAGAGGUCAGUGGCAAUUAGGCCGAGUGGUGGAAACCAGUGAAGGAAGUGAUGGUCUUGUAAGGCGAGUCAAGUUGCAGUUAGGGGAGCGAAGACAAAAUCAAUGCUCCAAGCCCACAGUCAUUGAAAGGCCCAUCCAAAAAUUGGUGGUACUUAUUGAAAAUGAGUAAUCAGCGACUGCUUUGUGAUAUCAUUGCAUCAGACCAUGUAAUUAAGUUUUAUAAAACCUAACAUUUUAGACUUCACAUGCAUAAAAACUGUGAAGGCGGUCAUAUUGAUGUGCAGAAAUCAUGUUCUGAUUCAUUCACAGUUUGUUCUGUUCUUUCAUCAUCUCAUAAUUGGUGGGAGUGUAAAUGACCGCAAAAAUAUGUAUGUGUGUGUCACUUUAAAUGUGUUGUGUGUGCGCACGCACGCUCUCUACGUAACGUAAGCUGUAACGCAGGUAGAAGAAAGAGGUGCGGACGAGGAGCACAUUGUGGUUCUCACAUGGCGUUUACAAAAGUUUGAUAUAUAUAUUGUAAAAGGUGGAUGCACUUUACGUUUUGGUUCAUCUAGUACCCUUUGGCAAGCGGAGCGAGCCUUCGUAACCCUUCUAAAUGGUGACCAGGCACAGGAUGCCAUCCAAACUCUGCACCAGACAUCAGUCCGAGGCCGUGACAUCACCGUCCAGCUUCAGCCCACGGACUCUCUCCUGUGUGUCACCAACCUGCCCUACACAGUCACUGCC